GAUGAACGCUGGCGGCGUGCCUAAUACAUGCAAGUAGAACGCUGAAGGAGGAGCUUGCUCUUCUGGAUGAGUUGCGAACGGGUGAGUAACGCGUAGGUAACCUGCCUGGUAGCGGGGGAUAACUAUUGGAAACGAUAGCUAAUACCGCAUGACAACAGUUAUUGCAUGAUAACUGUUUAAAAGGGGCAACUGCUCCACUACCAGAUGGACCUGCGUUGUAUUAGCUAGUUGGUGAGGUAACGGCUCACCAAGGCGACGAUACAUAGCCGACCUGAGAGGGUGAUCGGCCACACUGGGACUGAGACACGGCCCAGACUCCUACGGGAGGCAGCAGUAGGGAAUCUUCGGCAAUGGACGGAAGUCUGACCGAGCAACGCCGCGUGAGUGAAGAAGGGUGUCGGAUCGUAAAGCUCUGUUGUAAGAGAAGAACGAGUGUGAGAGUGGAAAGUUCACACUGUGACGGUAGCUUACCAGAAAGGGACGGCUAACUACGUG
rnacentral:rRNA from 1 species